UGGGGAAUAUUGGACAAUGGGCGCAAGCCUGAUCCAGCAACGCCGCGUGGAGGACGAAGGUCUUCGGAUCGUAAACUCCUGUCAGGCGGGACGAAGGCUUCCGGGCAAAUAGUCCGGAAGCUUGACGGUACUGCCAGAGGAAGCCCCGGCUAACUCCGUGCCAGCAGCCGCGGUAAGACGAAGGGGGCUAGCGUUGUUCGGAAUUACUGGGCGUAAAGGGCGCGCAGGCGGUCUUGCAAGUCGGGCGUUAAAGACCUGGGCUUAACCCGGGGAAUGCGCUCGAUACUGCGAGGCUUGAGAUCGAGAGAGGAGAGUGGAAUUCCCAGUGUAGAGGUGAAAUUCGUAGAUAUUGGGAAGAACACCGGUGGCGAAGGCGGCUCUCUGGCUCGAUUCUGACGCUGAGGCGCGAAAGCGUGGGGAGCAAA
rnacentral:rRNA from 1 species